rnacentral:rRNA from 1 species
UGGGGAAUUUUGGACAAUGGGCGAAAGCCUGAUCCAGCCAUGCCGCGUGUGUGAAGAAGGUCUUCGGAUUGUAAAGCACUUUAAGUUGGGAGGAAGGGCAGUUACCUAAUACGUAUCUGUUUUGACGUUACCGACAGAAUAAGCACCGGCUAACUCUGUGCCAGCAGCCGCGGUAAUACAGAGGGUGCAAGCGUUAAUCGGAAUUACUGGGCGUAAAGCGCGCGUAGGUGGUUUGUUAAGUUGGAUGUGAAAUCCCCGGGCUCAACCUGGGAACUGCAUUCAAAACUGACAAGCUAGAGUAUGGUAGAGGGUGGUGGAAUUUCCUGUGUAGCGGUGAAAUGCGUAGAUAUAGGAAGGAACACCAGUGGCGAAGGCGACCACCUGGACUGAUACUGACACUGAGGCACGAAAGCGUGGGGAGCAAACAGGAUUAGAUACCCCAGUAGUCCCUGAGCGGGCUGGCAAGGCGCAU